rnacentral:lncRNA from 1 species
GUGCUUUAGUUCUUCAUAGGAGAGAGAUUGUCCUGUCUUGAUUAGAAAAGGCUGAGACCUCUGGAGUUUUUCUGAUAGUUGCCCAAAGUCUGUCACAAUCUGAAAGCUUUUCACAGCAGAACAUGCUGUGCAGUUUGCAGGAAGUGUAGAAGUGUUUUGUCUGCAACCUGCUGCCCACCAGUCCUGGCAUUUCUCAAGCAUGUACUUCUUG